rnacentral:rRNA from 1 species
UAGGGAAUCUUCGGCAAUGGACGAAAGUCUGACCGAGCAACGCCGCGUGAGUGAUGAAGGUUUUCGGAUCGUAAAACUCUGUUGCCAGGGAAGAAAGGCCAGGCGAGUAACUGCGCUUGGAUUGACGGUACCUGAGAAGAAAGCCCCGGCUAACUACGUGCCAGCAGCCGCGGUAAUACGUAGGGGGCAAGCGUUGUCCGGAAUUAUUGGGCGUAAAGCGCGCGCAGGCGGUUUUUUAAGUCUGGUGUAUAAACCUGAGGCUCAACCUUGGGACGCAUUGGAAACUGGGGAACUGGAGUGUAGGAGAGGAAAGUGGAAUUCCACGUGUAGCGGUGAAAUGCGUAGAUAUGUGGAGGAACACCAGUGGCGAAGGCGACUUUCUGGCCUAUAACUGACGCUGAGGCGCGAAAGCGUGGGGAGCAAACA